rnacentral:rRNA from 1 species
UACGGGGGGUGCAAGCGUUGCUCGGAAUCAUUGGGCGUAAAGCGCACGUAGGCGGCGCGUUAAGUCGGGUGUGAAAGCCCUGGGCUCAACCCAGGAAGUGCAUUCGAAACUGGCGCGCUUGAAUAUGGAAGAGGGUCGCGGAAUUCCCGGUGUAGAGGUGAAAUUCGUAGAUAUCGGGAGGAACACCAGUGGCGAAGGCGGCGACCUGGGCCAAUAUUGACGCUGAGGUGCGAAAGCGUGGGGAGCAAACAGG